rnacentral:tRNA from 1 species
GGGAUUGUGGCUCAGUGGCAGAGCACUUGCCUAGCAUGUAUGAGGUGCUGGGUUCGAUCCUCAGCACCA